UGUUGCACCCACCUCGGCCGGCAAG
rnacentral:misc_RNA from 1 species